rnacentral:rRNA from 1 species
UACAGAGGUCUCAAGCGUUGUUCGGAUUCAUUGGGCGUAAAGGGUGCGUAGGCGGCGCGGUAAGUCGGGUGUGAAAGCUCGGAGCUUAACUCCGAAACUGCAUUCGAUACUGCCGUGCUUGAGGACUGGAGAGGAGACUGGAAUUUACGGUGUAGCGGUGAAAUGCGUAGAUAUCGUAAGGAAGACCAGUGGCGAAGGCGGGUCUCUGGACAGUUCCUGACGCUGAGGCACGAAGGCCAGGGGAGCAAACGGG